GGAGAUGUAAGUUAAUUUAAACUAUAUGGUUCAUGUUCAUAAAAUAUUCUUUUUCUUCUCCU
rnacentral:tRNA from 1 species